UAGGUUGAGGAGGCUGUGACCGUGGUGGUGUAGGUGGAAGCGGCGGUGGAGGAGGAGGUAGCCAACACUGUUUAUAUAUAUAUAUAUAUAUAUAUAUAUAUAUAUAAUAUUUUAUUUUAAUUGGGGUAGCCCAUAUAAAAAUGAGAACUCUGUUCCACAGAGUAGCUGUUGACAUUAUAGUUGUGCAGGCACUUUGUUGACUCUAGAGAACCUCGGUCCAAUUGCACAUACCCAUGACUGCGACUUUGCAUUCGGAUGUCAUCCAUAUCAACUUUCAAUGCCAGUUCCUGCGCCUACCAUGGUGACCACGGGUAACGGGGAAUCAGAGUUCCAUUCCGUACAGGGACCCUGAGAAAUGGCUACCACAUGCAAGGAAGGCAGCAAGCGCGCAAAUGACCCACUCCCGACACGGGAAGGUAGUGACGACAAAUAACAAUGGAGGACUCUUUAGAGGCCCAGUAAUUGUAAUGAGUCCACUUGAAAUCCUUUAACUCUGAUCAAUUGGAGGGAAGUCUGGUGCAGAACCACUGACCCGUGCGUGCUGCCGCUGAAACUCCACU